UGGCGGCAUGGAUUAGGCAUGCAAGUCGAACGGAGAAGCAGAUGCUUGCAUCUGUGGAUUAGUGGCGAAAGGGUGAGUAACGCGUGAACAAUCUGCCCCUAAGUUGGGAAUAGCCUCGGGAAACUGGGAUUAAUACCGAAUGUGGUCCUCUAUCGCAUGUUAAAUAUUUAAAAAUUUAUUGCUUGGAGAUGGGCUCGCGUCCCAUUAGCUAGUUGGUGGGGUAAUGGCCUACCAAGGCACCGAUGGGUAGCUGGUCUGAGAGGAUGAUCAGCCACACUGGGACUGAGACACUGCCCAGACUCCUACGGGAGGCUGCAGUCGAGAAUCUUCCGCAAUGGGCGAAAGCCUGACGGAGCAAUGCCGCGUGCAGGAUGAAGGCCUUAGGGUUGUAAACUGCUGUCACCGGGGACGAAAUUUGACGGUACCCGGAGAGGAAGCACCGGCUAACUACGUGCCAGCAGCCGCGGUAAUACGUAGGGUGCAAGCGUUGUUCGGAUUUAUUGGGCGUAAAGGGUCCGCAGGGGGUUUACUAAGUCUGAUGUGAAAUCCCGUGGCUCAACCACGGAACUGCAUUGGAAACUGGUAAACUAGAGUACUGGAGAGGUAAACGGAAUUCCUGGUGUAGCGGUGGAAUGCGUAGAUAUCAGGAAGAACACCGAAAGCGAAGGCAGUUUACUGGACAGUUACUGACACUGAGGUACGAAAGCUGGGGGAGCGAAGAGGAUUAGAUACCCUCGUAGUCCCAGCCGUAAACGGUGUCGACUUGGUGUGGGGGGAAUUGACCCCUCCCGUGCCGGAGCUAACGCGUUAAGUCGACCGCCUGGGGAGUACGGCCGCAAGGCUAAAACUCAAAGAAAUUGACGGGGGCCCGCACAAGCGGAGGAGCAUGUGGCUUAAUUCGAUGCAACGCGAAGAACCUUACCCAGACUUGACAUAUAACUGCACGUCCUAUGAAAGUAGGAUUUCUUCGAGAGUGUUAUACAGGUGCUGCAUGGCUGUCGUCAGUUCGUGCCGUGAGGUGUUUGGUUAAGUCCAGCAACGAACGCAACCCUUGUGACUAGUUGCCACCGGAGGUGAUGAGCCUUCGAGCACUCUAGUCAGACUGCCCUUGCAAGAGGGAGGAAGGUGGGGAUGACGUCAAGUCAGUAUGGCCCUUACGUCUGGGGCUGCACACGUGCUACAAUGGCCGGUACAGAAGGUCGCAAUACCGUGAGGUGGAGCUAAUCCUCAAAACCGGCCCCAGUUCGGAUUGGAGUCUGCAACUCGACUCCAUGAAGUUGGAUUCGCUAGUAACGGCGUAUCAGCUACGACGCCGUGAAUACGUUCCCGGGCCUUGUACACACCGCCCGUCACAUCAUGAAAGCCGUCUGCACCCGAAGUCGUUGAUCUAACCAUUUAUGGAGGAAGGCGCCGAAGGUGUGG
rnacentral:rRNA from 1 species